rnacentral:rRNA from 1 species
GGUACCGUCAACCGGAAGGCUUAUUCAUCCUCCCGGGAUUCGUCCCACUCGACAGGAGUUUACGACCCGAAGGCCUUCGUCCUCCACGCGGCGUCGCUGCGUCAGGCUUUCGCCCAUUGCGCAAAAUUCCUCA